rnacentral:lncRNA from 1 species
AUGGAUUUGUGUGAGCUGGGUGUGGUAUCUCCUCUCACCUGCUUCCCCUGCCUGAUGUUACACUUUUUGAAGGGUUCCUCACCAAAACAGCUUUCAGAUCUAAAUUUUCCAGGGGUUGCUCUGAGAUUUACUCCAGGGUGAUGCUCUUCAAUGUUGAGAUUAAUACCUGCAGAUUACCAGUUCUAUUUGAGGCCAGGAUUCAUGCUCCAUUUGAAAGCUGUAUCUUUUUGGCUUCCCUUGGUGUCCCUCCCUCACUGAGAUAACUUUUUGUUGAGCACCAAGAGGCAGCAAAAUUUAGGAAAAACUACUUCAAAAGCCCGAGAUUAUUUUAUAAUUUUUGUGUUUGUGUACUUCCCUCUGGUGAUGUCACUUCCACAUAACUCACUGCAUCCAGGCUUCCCCUAGAAGUGUGAGAGAUUCCUUUCAUUAUCCAUCAGUCUGUCACAGCUCUG